rnacentral:rRNA from 1 species
CGCACUCUUCGGAGUGAGUGGCAGACGGGUGAGUAACGCGUGGGAAUCUACCCAGUUCUACGGAACAACACAGGGAAACUUGUGCUAAUACCGUAUACGCCCCAAGGGGGAAAGAUUUAUCGGAAUUGGAUGAGCCCGCGUAAGAUUAGCUAGUUGGUGGGGUAAUGGCCUACCAAGGCGACGAUCUUUAGCUGGUCUGAGAGGAUGAUCAGCCACACUGGGACUGAGACACGGCCCAGACUCCUACGGGAGGCAGCAGUGGGGAAUAUUGGACAAUGGGCGAAAGCCUGAUCCAGCCAUGCCGCGUGAGUGAUGAAGGCCUUAGGGUUGUAAAGCACUUUCAGUUGUGAGGAAAGGUUAACGGUUAAUACCCGUUAGCUGUGACGUUAGCAACAGAAGAAGGACCGGCUAACUCCGUGCCAGCAGCCGCGGUAAUACGGAGGGUCCGAGCGUUAAUCGGAAUUACUGGGCGUAAAGCGCACGCAGGCGGUUUGUUAAGCUAGAUGUGAAAGCCCUGGGCUCAACCUGGGAAUUGCAUUUAGAACUGGCAGGCUAGAGUUUUGGAGAGGGGAGUGGAAUUCCAGGUGUAGCGGUGAAAUGCGUAGAUAUCUG